AUGUAAGGAAUUUUUAUCAGAGAACCAUGUGGCCUACUAUAUCCCCCCUCUCUGUCUGACUCACCUUUGGAAGCCAGCCCGUGUCCUGCCUUCUGCCUCUAUGCCUAGGCUCCAGAGGUCCAUGGCCCCUAGAGUCUGGCUAGGUUCUUAAUGUGCCCAACUCUGUUGAGCAGCCUUUCCUGUGACCGUCCUAAGCUUAACGAAAAGGAGUACCCCACACCCAGAUGCCCACUGUUAGAAGUGAUGUAGUUUUCUAGGCUUUUGGAAUAUGUCCCUUUUGUAUUUCUGAUGGUGUUUGGGGUUUUUCACUAUAGUGUUUUUUCACUAGUGUUUUUUUCACUAGUGUUUUUUAGAUUGAGGUGGGUGCGUGAAGGUAAACUUUCCACUGCUGAGCCCAAAAGCAUGCAGAGGAGAGAACUUGCCCUGCAUUGUGUUGUUGGGGAGGUGACUACUUACGGUGAGGGGGGGUGGGGGGAGGGGCUUGUAGAUGAUACGGGGUUGAAAUAGAAAUUCUGGCCAGAGGUUUCCUACGUCUUUGAUAUUUUGUAAUGAAAAUCUCCCACAUUAACCUUGCUUAAUCUCAAUGUAAGCCUGCUGUUUACCCUCAGGGAACAAGUGGUUUUCAAAAUUGAGCUCCUCCAAGGUCCUGGGCCAGUGCCUGUGUGCGCUGGUCAUCUCUGUGAUCUCAUGGCAUUAUUUUCCCAUAUGCAUUAUGAUAUUAAGAAGUUCAGCCCCACCCUGUAUGAAAAGCACAGCCCAGUGCCCUAAUUUAGGCUUGUGUGGUUGCCUUUGAGGGGCCUGGCAGGGGUCCUAGGAGGGCCAUGCAAUUUAACCGAAGCUCAGGUGUGCAUUGGAUUUUCUGUUAGGCCACAACCCUUCAGAGCGAGUUUAGGGCAGGGGCUGCGGAAGGUUUUACUGGUCCUUCCUGGUGUUGCCGCCGAGGUCAGUCUUGUAGGUGUUUGGAUGUGCUCCUUCUUGCUGUCUUGUGAGUCAUAGCCAGUGCUCCAGAUGCCCAAGGGGGAGGCCUCUGGAGGGUCCAGCCCUCCCUGACCUCAGCGCCUUUCAAACUAGUGCAGUGAGAAGACUCUACAAAUGGCACCCGGCAGGGCAGCUCGUGCCUCUUGGGCCUGGACUCCACUGUUAGUGAGUGUAGGAAAAUACUGUGUCUGUAAUGGAUGAAAUUCAAUGUAUGCUGUGAAUUUGUUGGUUUGAAACAUUGAAAAUUUUUCAUUAGACAAUGUUUACAUACCUCACCUGAAGAACCUUUGAGAGUGUAUAUAUGAAAAUUAAAAAUAUAUUAAGUUGCUUUAAAACAGUAUGUAUAGCUAUAAAAGUUGGAGUUAUUUUAACUUUGAGUAUGUACCAAGUCUCUUAAAUAUUGAAAUCUCGUAGACUUUCUGGCUUCUGUGUUUCGCUUUUCCUGUUGGACCACGUGGAUAACUGUGUUUUUGUUCUUGAUAAAAGGGGCCCCACACCGAAGUCCAGGCUUUGAAGGAUUCUCGUGGUAGUUAGGAUUUUCUGGUUUGGUUUGAGGAAAUGGGGUGUGGAGCUAGAGGGUGUGUGGGAGGGAUUUCUCUAACACUGACAUCUGUUCUGUGAGCUUUUUCAAGGCGCUUAUUUUAUUGCAGCAUAUUAAAGUUCUUUGAUA
ensembl:lncRNA